AAUGAACGCUGGCGGCAUGCCUUACACAUGCAAGUCGAACGGUAACGGGUCCUUCGAGAUGACAAAGAGUGGCAAACGGGUGAAUAAUAUAUCCGAACGGGCCCUAUAUGGGGGAAUAACUGCUCAAAAGAGCAUCUAAUACCCCUUACAACCUGAGGGUGAACGGGGGGGAUCGCAAGACCUCUCGCAAUUGGAUGGGCCGAUAUCAGAUUAGCUAGUUGGUGAGGUAAAGGCCCACCAAGGCAACGAUCUGUAGGUGGUCUGAGAGGACGACCCCCCACACUGGGACUGAGACACGGACCAGACUCCUACGGGAGGCAGCAGUGAGGAAUUUUGGACAAUGGGCGCAAGCCUGAUCCAGCCAUGCCGCGUGCAGGACGAAUGCCCUCUGGGUGGAAACUGCCUUUGGCAUGGAAAAAAUCCUCAGCUCUAGUACCCCGGUAAGAUGACUAUACCAGAAAAAUACGCGCCAGUUAACUACAUGCCACCGAGCCACUACAAUACGGUAGGGUGCGAUAUGCCAAUCUUAAUUACUGUAAGGGUCCGUAGGCGGACUUAUAAGUCAGUGGUGAAAGCCUGUCCCCUUAACGAUAGAACUGCCAUUGAUACUGUAAGUCUUGAGUAUAUUUGAGGUAGCUGGAAUAAGUAGUGUAGCGGUGAAAUGCAUAGAUAUUACUUAGAACACCAAUUGCGAAGGCAGGUUACCAAGAUAUAACUGACGCUGAGGGACGAAAGCGUGGGGAGCGAACAGGAUUAGAUACCCUGGUAGUCCACGCCGUAAACGAUGCUAACUCGUUUUUGGGCUUUAGGGUUCAGAGACCAAGCGAAAGUGAUAAGUUAGCCACCUGGGGAGUACGCUCGCAAGAGUGAAACUCAAAGGAAUUGACGGGGGCCCGCACAAGCGGUGGAUUAUGUGGUUUAAUUCGAUGAUACGCGAGGAACCUUACCAAGACUUAAAUGGGAAUUGACAGCUUUAGAAAUAGAGCUUUCUUCGGACAAUUUUCAAGGUGCUGCAUGGUUGUCGUCAGCUCGUGCCGUGAGGUGUUAGGUUAAGUCCUGCAACGAGCGCAACCCCUGUCACUAGUUGCCAUCAUUCAGUUGGGGACUCUAGUGAGACUGCCUACGCAAGUAGAGAGGAAGGUGGGGAUGACGUCAAAUCAUCACGGCCCUUACGUCUUGGGCCACACACGUAAUACAAUGGCCGGUACAGAGGGCAGCUACACAGCGAUGUGAUGCAAAUCUCGAAAGCCGGUCUCAGUUCGGAUUGGAGUCUGCAACUCGACUCUAUGAAGCUGGAAUCGCUAGUAAUCGCGCAUCAGCCAUGGCGCGGUGAAUACGUUCCCGGGCCU
rnacentral:rRNA from 1 species